AUGAUCUUGCACACGCAAGGGAAGUCUUCAUCACUCACGUACCUGUGCAGUUUGAAGACAGACACUGACUUCCUGCGUACCAGUGGUGCUCAGUCAAGAAGAAUGUGUAGUAUGAGAAAAAUGUCUAUCCUCAUUUCAAAACCUCUCCUAAAAAUCAAACUUCAAAUGGAGAAUAGCAGCAUAUGUGAUAGAAGGUCAUUACAACAUAACUUACCAAAACAUGAUUCGUAG
rnacentral:lncRNA from 1 species